AAAAGUCGUAACAAGGUUUCCGUAGGUGAACCUGCGGAAGGAUCAUUAAUAAAAGGAUACCUUCGGGUAUACCCCAUCCGUGUCUACAUACUCUUGUUGCUUUGGCAGGCCGUGGUCUUCCACUGUGGGCUCUGCCUGCAUGUGCCUGCCAGAGGACCAAACUCUGAAUGUUAGUGAUGUCUGAGUACUAUAUAAUAGUUAAAACUUUCAACAACGGAUCUCUUGGUUCUGGC
rnacentral:misc_RNA from 1 species